rnacentral:lncRNA from 1 species
UUCUCUUAAUAAGAAAGUAAAAAGGGGACAACCAUUUAAUUUAGAGAAGUGCAUAUAUAUACAUAUCUACAUAUAUAUUGACUUAUUAUAUAGAGUAGGUGUAUUUAUCUUCUUUUUUUUUUUGUUCAAAGAAAGGUAACGCCUUAUUACAUAGAAAGAGGGAGGGGGUGAUUUGGUUCGAACCUAAGCUCUUAUGUCUUCCUUAAGGCUUCUUUGCUAUUAGGCCAAGA